UAGAGCACUGUUUGGACGAGGGGCCCCUCUCGGGUUACCGAAUUCAGACAAACUCCGAAUGCCAAUUAAUUUAACUUGGGAGUCAGAACAUGGGUGAUAAGGUCCGUGUUCGAAAGGGAAACAGCCCAGACCACCAGCUAAGGUCCCAAAAUAUAUGUUAAGUGGAAAAGGAUGUGGCGUUGCCCAGACAACUAGGAUGUUGGCUUAGAAGCAGCCAUCAUUUAAAGAGUGCGUAAUAGCUCACUAGUCGAGUGACACUGCGCCGAAAAUGUACCGGGGCUAAACAUAUUACCGAAGCUGUGGAUUGUCCUUUGGACAAUGGUAGGAGAGCGUUCUAAGGGCGUUGAAGCAUGAUCGUAAGGACAUGUGGAGCGCUUAGAAGUGAGAAUGCCGGUGUGAGUAGCGAAAGACGGGUGAGAAUCCCGUCCACCGAUUGACUAAGGUUUCCAGAGGAAGGCUCGUCCGCUCUGGGUUAGUCGGGUCCUAAGCUGAGGCCGACAGGCGUAGGCGAUGGAUAACAGGUUGAUAUUCCUGUACCACCUAUA
rnacentral:rRNA from 1 species